GUAGGGUGCAAGCGUUGUCCGGAAUUACUGGGUGUAAAGGGAGCGCAGGCGGACCGGCAAGUUGGAAGUGAAAACUAUGGGCUCAACCCAUAAAUUGCUUUCAAAACUGCUGGCCUUGAGUAGUGCAGAGGUAGGUGGAAUUCCCGGUGUAGCGGUGGAAUGCGUAGAUAUCGGGAGGAACACCAGUGGCGAAGGCGACCUACUGGGCACCAACUGACGCUGAGGCUCGAAAGCAUGGGUAGCAAACAGGAUUAGAUACCCUGGUAGUCCAUGCCGUAAACGAUGAUUACUAGGUGUUGGAGGAUUGACCCCUUCAGUGCCGCAGUUAACACAAUAAGUAAUCCACCUGGGGAGUACGACCGCAAGGUUGAAACUCAAAGGAAUUGACGG
rnacentral:rRNA from 1 species